AUUGAACGCUGGCGGCAGGCCUAACACAUGCAAGUCGAGCGAGCGGCGGACGGGUGUGUAAUGUAUGUGGGCUGCCCGUUAGAGGGGGAUACCUACCGGAAACGGUGGCUAAUACACCACACUGCCGGAUAAUCCCUAUGGGAUUGGCUAGUAGGUAAGGUAAUGGCUUACCUAGGCGACGAUCCCUAGCUGGUCUGAGAGGAUGAUCAGCCACACUGGGACUGAGACACGGCCCAGACUCCUACGGAGGCAGCAGUGGGGAAUAUUGCACAAUGGGCGCAAGCCUGAUGCAGCCAUGCCGCGUGUAUGAAGAAGGCCCUAGGGUUGUAAAGUACUUUCAGUCGGGAGGCGUUACCGACAGAAGAAGCACCGGCUAACUCCGUGCCAGCAGCCGCGGUAAUUC
rnacentral:rRNA from 1 species